rnacentral:rRNA from 1 species
GUAGGGAAUCUUGCACAAUGGACGAAAGUCUGAUGCAGCGACGCCGCGUGAGUGAUGAAGGCUUUCGGGUUGUAAAGCUCUGUUCUCAGGGAAAAACACAAUGAUUGUACCUGAGAAGAAAGGACCGGCUAACUUCGUGCCAGCAGCCGCGGUAAGACGGGGGGUCCUAGCGUUGUUCGGAAUCAUUGGGCGUAAAGCGGGCGUAGGUGGCCAUGUAAGUUAGGAGUGAAAGCCCUGGGCUCAACCCAGGAAGUGCUCUUAAUACUGCUUGGCUUGAAUGUGGGAGAGGGUAGUAGAAUUCCAGGUGUAGUGGUGAAAUACGUAGAUAUCUGGAGGAAUACCGGUGGCGAAGGCGGCUACCUGGCCCAACAUUGACACUGAGGCCCGAAAGCGUGGGGAUCAAACAGGAUUAGAAACCCUAGUAGUCC